CUAUAAAAUCUUUAAGGUACUCACGAUUUGAAUAUUGAGUGAUCAUGGCAGAAAAUCAUUGAUUUGGAGAAAGUAUAUAUUCCAAAGACAUGUGCAUAAAUAAUUCGAAAAAUAAUAUUUGUAAGCAAAUUUAAGAAAUCUAAAAAAACAGAGAACUUAUAUUUGUAAAAAUUCUAAAAUACAUAAAAAUAUAAAAAUUUAGAUCUUCGAAAAGACCCCAAGAAAUCUCCUCGCACUAACCCGUGUGUGGAUGCCCUGCGAAGGGCCCUUUGCACACAGAAUCAUUACAGCCUCCGUGGCGAGGGCCAUAAGGCCUCCGUGGAGGCCAAGUAAGCCCUCGUGCACAGAGGGAGGCUUUUGUAAACGGCCCCGUUCACGGAGGCGGAGUCCUCCUUUUUGGCUCCUCGCACGGUGGCCCUUCACCUAAAUUGUGAACUGAAUUUCUCAAAUAAAUGCUUACUUUGGGUGGUAAUUUCUUCUACUAUAGUUGCCUUUGAGAUCUAGGUGAAAUUUUUGAGAUAGAGA
rnacentral:lncRNA from 1 species